rnacentral:rRNA from 1 species
UACGUAGGGGGCAAGCGUUGUUCGGAUUUACUGGGCGUAAAGGGCGCGUAGGCGGCGUGACAAGUCACUUGUGAAAUCUCCGGGCUUAACUCGGAACGGUCAAGUGAUACUGUCGUGCUAGAGUACAGAAGGGGCAACUGGAAUUCUCGGUGUAGCGGUGAAAUGCGUAGAUAUCGAGAGGAACACCUGCGGCGAAGGCGGGUUGCUGGGCUGAUACUGACGCUGAGGCGCGAAAGCCAGGGGAGCGAACGGG